rnacentral:rRNA from 1 species
AACGAACGCUGGCGGCAGGCUUAAUACAUGCAAGUCGAGCGGGCACUUCGGUGUCAGCGGCGCACGGGUGCGUAACGCGUGGGAACAUGCCUUUAGGUACGGAACAACCAAGGGAAACUUUGGCUAAUACCGUAUAAUAUCUCUGGAUCAAAGAUUUAUCGCCUAAAGAUUGGCCCGCGUUAGAUUAGGUAGUUGGUGGGGUAAUGGCCUACCAAGCCGACGAUCUAUAGGGGGUCUGAGAGGAUGAUCCCCCACACUGGAACUGAGACACGGUCCAGACUCCUACGGGAGGCAGCAGUAAGGAAUAUUGGACAAUGGGCGAAAGCCUGAUCCAGCCAUGCCGCGUGAGUGAUGAAGGCCUUAGGGUUGUAAAGCUCGUUUAGAUGGGAAGAUAAUGACUGUACCAUCAGAAUAAGCCCCGGCUAAAUUCGUG